UACGACGACCAAAGGGCCACGGGUUCCUGGGUCGUUUCUCAUUUCCGUCGAGUUAAACGUCUGGGGCUGCUUCUGAGGAAUCAGCUUGACUGGGACUUUGUAUUCAGCCUUCUGCAUGGAGCUGGCCUCACGUGGCUUUGUGGUUGCUGUGCCAGAGCACAGGGACCGGUCAGCGGCAACCACCUAUUUCUGCAAGCAGGCCCCAGAAGAGAACCAGCCCACCAAUGAAUUGCUGCAAGAGGAAUGGAUCCCUUUCCGUCGAGUUGAGGAAGGGGAGAAGGAAUUUCAUGUUCGGAAUCCCCAGGUGCAUCAGCGGGUAAGCGAGUGUUUACGGGUGUUGAAGAUCCUGCAAGAGGUCACUGCUGGGCAGACUGUCUUCAACAUCUUGCCUGGUGGCUUGGAUCUGAUGACUUUGAA
rnacentral:sRNA from 1 species